rnacentral:ncRNA from 1 species
UUGAGCCGGAUGCAGGGAAACUUGCAAGUCCGGUUCUUAGGGGGGAGGGGAGCGGCAACGUGACCUUCCUACCCGAC